rfam:Myotis davidii contig30715, whole genome shotgun sequence.
AGGCCCGGAGAGAGGCAAGGUUUGAUCUGAAGCCUCAGUGGCAGCUGUUGAUCAGCCGUUGCCUCUCUCUUUCUCUCCC